GAUGAACGCUGGCGGCGUGCCUAAUACAUGCAAGUCGAGCGAACGGACGAGAAGCUUGCUUCUCUGAUGUUAGCGGCGGACGGGUGAGUAACACGUGGAUAACCUACCUAUAAGACUGGGAUAACUACGGGAGACCGGAGCUAGCACCGGAUAAUAUUUUGAACGGCAUGGUUCAAAAGUGAAAGACGGUCUUGCUGACACUUAUAGAUGGAUCCGAGCUGCAUUAGCUAGUUGGUAAGGUAACGGCUUACCAAGGCAACGAUGCGUAGCCGACCUGAGAGGAUGAUCAGCCACACUGGAACUGAGACACGGUCCAGACUCCUACGGGAGGCAGCAGUAGGGAAUCUUCCGCAAUGGGCGAAAGCCUGACGGAGCAACGCCGCGUGAGUGAUGAAGGUCUUCGGAUCGUAAAACUCUGUUAUUAGGGAAGAACAUAUGUGUAAGUAACUGUGCACAUCUUGACGGUACCUAAUCAGAAAGCAACGGCUAACUACGUG
rnacentral:rRNA from 1 species